UGGGGAAUUUUGGACAAUGGGCGAAAGCCUGAUCCAGCAAUGCCGCGUGUGUGAAGAAGGCCUUCGGGUUGUAAAGCACUUUUGUCCGGAAAGAAAUCCUUGGCUCUAAUACAGUCGGGGGAUGACGGUACCGGAAGAAUAAGCACCGGCUAACUACGUGCCAGCAGCCGCGGUAAUACGUAGGGUGCAAGCGUUAAUCGGAAUUACUGGGCGUAAAGCGUGCGCAGGCGGUUUGCUAAGACCGAUGUGAAAUCCCCGGGCUUAACCUGGGAACUGCAUUCGUGACUGCAAGGCUAGAGUAUGGCAGAGGGGGGUAGAAUUCCACGUGUAGCAGUGAAAUGCGUAGAGAUGUGGAGGAAUACCGAUGGCGAAGGCAGCCCCUGGGCCAAUACUGACGCUCAUGCACGAAAGCGUGGGGAGCAAACAGGAUUAGAUACCCUGGUAGUCCAGCGCCCUAAACGAUGUCACUAGUUGUUGGGGAUUCAUUCCUUAGUAACGUAGCUAACGCGUGAAGUUGACCGCCUGGGGAGUACGGUCG
rnacentral:rRNA from 1 species